GGACGGGAAGCAUCUUAGUGGUGUUCUCAGUGGCGGACGGGUGGGUAACGCGUAAGAACCUGCCCUUGGGAGGGGGACAACAGCUGGAAACGGCUGCUAAUACCCCAUAGGCUGAGGAGCAAAAGGAGGAGAUCCGCCCAAAGAGGGGCUUGCGUCUGAUUAGCUAGUUGGUGAGGCAAUGGCUUACCGAGGCGACGAUCAGUAGCUGGUCUGAGAGGAUGAUCAGCCACACUGGGACUGAGACACGGCCCAGACUCCUACGGGAGGCAGCAGUGGGGAAUUUUCUGCAAUGGGCGAAAGCCUGACAGAGCAAUGCCGCGUGGAGGUAGAAGGUCUACGGGUCGUAAACUCCUUUUAUACGGAGAAGAAACAAUGACGGUAUAUGAGGAAUAAGCAUCGGCUAACUUUGUGCCAGCAGCCGCGGUAAU
rnacentral:rRNA from 1 species